CAGACAGCUGUGCAGAGCGGCAGGAGGUCUCAUGCGCUCCUGGUGACAGCCAAACAGGAGCUGAUGCUGACAACCUCUUCUGGGGAUGCUGCUAUUGACUAAUGUGGAGUAACAGCCAACAAGGGAACAGUCCCGCGGAAAGAAGACCUGCCAGAAGAAUGCCACAUUCCAGGUUCCCUGUCUCCCAUCCUCUCCUACCCAGACAGAGAAACUGCCCAACAUGCUCUCCGCUAAUCCUUGUGACUGACACAAAGCUUUCCAGCAACCUAUGUCGUUUUUAGAAAUGCUGGGGAAGUUAUUUACAAGAGUCCUGAUUUCUCCCCACGGCAAAGCCCAUUUCUUCCACCUCAAAUAGUCAUUCAGGUAGUCUUCUUUAAAUGUGGUUAUCCUGCCGGUUAGGGCAGACAUCAAGCCCCUUUGUUUAAAUGCGCACCCACUCCCACCCCAGCCCUGGAUGAAACCCCUGGGGUAGACCAGCCCUAAUAAGGGAGGUAAAAAGUAUUUUGAAAGAGAGCUGGAGAAUACGAGCUGAGCCCACGCAACGGCUCCCAGGAAGAUGUCGAGGGGCUUCCAUGAAGAACUAGUUAAGGCGGGAGCUGAUCUGCAGAUAAAUCAGCAGCUCAGCAGCUUUCAACUCAGUCUUCAAACAUACUGCUCUUGCAAUGUUCUGAGGCUGAAAAUAGAUAUUCUGUCUCCAGAAAAGGAAGAAUUAGGAUGAGGCCAAGCUUGUUAGGAGAAACAAGAGAAGCUGGUAUUGAACCUGAUUAGACAGGAGCAUCUUGCUAGUCCCCUUUCCCAAGCUGUAAAAAGUUAAGAUGAAAAAAACCAGCAUGGCUCACAUUUCUUAUCUACUGUUAAUAUAGAGUUUAAAUUAAAACUCAG
rnacentral:lncRNA from 1 species